UCCAGUCCCAAGCCAGCAACUCAAGGACGCCUUUGAAAGCUGUGCAGAGACGGAGUGGAAAAGAUGCCUUUCAAAGGAAGAAAUCUUGUUCCAAGGCAACAGUGUUUCUAUCCCCUCCAAGUGUGCUUCAUAAUAAUAAAGUUCCUGAUAAGCUGUGUGCAAAUCGCACUUCUGUAAAUUGGGUCCUACUUCCCCCAUGAUUUACACUUUCCUUUAAGUGCUGAUUUAUCAUCAUUUCUUCCCUUGGCAACCAUCCUUAUGACUUGCCUCUUAGUUCUAGCCUCCCUGGCAGAUAAUUAAUGAGCUCUUAAUACAGCUUAUGGGCACCAGAGGGAACACACACUAUUUAAAGAUGUCUUUCAGGGGAUUUUUUUUUGUGUGUGUAAAGUGAAGAAUCCCAUUGUCAUGAAAAAAAAAUCACAUACAUUUGGCAAAUGUUGCCCUUUUGAACUUGUGGACUAUUCAAAGGCAGAUGAAGAAGUUUGCUUACAUCAUUAUUCAUCAAUAUACAUUGGUGUAGGGUUUAGGUACCCAGUGGUUCUUGAAAGUACUGGGGGUGGAAAACUGUGUUAUUAAAACUUUUGAUUAAUUAAUUGCUUUUCUUGUUUGCUCACUUGUUCAACAAAUACUUACUGAAUACUUAUUAUGUGCCAGGCCCCAUGGAAAUAUAAUAUUAAACUGGAUAGACAUGGUCAUCCUCAUGGCAUCACAGCUUUUUGGGGAGACAGGUAAUGAGCAUGUAAUUAUGCAGAUAACGAGUUCACUACACAUUUGAUAAAUGCUAACAAGGGAUCAACGAGGGGGGCUAAUGAGGCCUGAGCUAGGUAUGGGGAGGGAAAGUGGUCAGGAAAGCUGAGCUCCAAGGUUGAGUUAGAAGUUACCAGGGAAAGGGCACUUCAGGAAGGGAACAGAAUGUGCAAAGUUACCAAGAACAGGAAUAGCUCAGCUCUUUUGAGAAGUGGGAGAAAGACACUGGGUGGAAGAUAAGCCAGUGAGAUUAAUGGGGGCACCAUGGCCGUAGCGCCUAUAUGCUAAGUGUUUUGAAUUGUAUCCUAAGAACAAUGAAUACAUUAUUGAUGCAUUCUAGGCAGGGAAGUGACGUGCUCAGAUACACCCUGUAGAGAGAGAAUAUUGUCUGCAUUGUGGUAAGGAAGGGAUAGGGGAACCUGUUGGGACCCAUAGCUUUUGUCCAGGAUAAAAGAGGUGGUAUUCAGUAGUGAUUUUCAUCAGUGAUAUCCUCCAGGAGAAAUGGGUUGAGGGUGUUAGGAUUCAACUUAGUCCAUUUCACAGAAGAGGAAGAAGAGGUCUAGUAGGAUAAGAAGAGUUAUAGGACUGUCUCUUAGUGGAAGAGGGGCCCCCUCCUGACAAUGCAGCAUCUUCACUGUGGCCCUGAGCUUCACACCAGGGAAGGACUGACUUCCCCAAGAAGGGCACACAUGCAGGCAAUAGCCCGCCAGCCUGCUUUGAAGUUCCUCCAGCAGGCUUUGGAGAAAGAGCUUUCUUCUUGAGUUCUGACUUGGAAAUAGGGAUCAGAAAUGACGGUCUCUGCAAGUGGGUUUGAUAUGGAGAAACUUCUGGACACAGGCCCCAGUCUUCAGUGGAGUGUCUAAGUAUCUCAGGUCCCCAAAACUGGUCUUGAUGGCCCCUCCAUCAGACACCAGCCAGGAGUUGACAAAUGUCAAUGGGCAAAGGUGUCCCUGGGGGAGAAGCUUCUUCAGAAAGCAGAUUCCUGGGCCCUGCUCUCAGGGAUUCUGUUUCAGGAUCUUUGGCUCAUGGCCUGGGAAUCUGAAUUGCAUAACAGGCCCUAUACCCCUCAUUCAUUUUGUCUCCUUGUUUCUAAUAUGGAUGGUCUUUAAAUCAUUUAAAAACUCUGGGAACUGUUGCUCUAGUGAUUUAGGCCUCUAGGAGACUGGCUUGCCUGAGCUCAGCAAAACAUAAUACCUGGUUCUGGGCAAUCACUACCAGUUAGGAAGCUCAGGAGUCUGGGUGGGAUCUUGAAUUGGGGAACAGCUUUGGGCCAAGACUUAACCCCCUUGCUUCCCCAUAUUGCCAGAGAAUCAUCCAGAGCAUUUAUAAACAUGUCCAUUUUUCUCCAGAGAUUCUGAUUCUGUUGUGGUUUUUAGCAAGCGCCCCAGGUGAUUCUUAGGAUUAGGUAGGUUGGGGGCCUUUGCCCUAGAGGCUUCAGGCAGCUUUUGCCCUUAAGGGGCCAUACGGGGCCUCAGGGAUCCUGGGUGUCCUCAGAGGACUGCAGGGAGCUCUGGGAGUGUUCUCUAAUGUGCUCUCCAACUCUCCAUAUCUGCUCUGGGUCUUGGAUUCUUCAUCAGGGCAUCUGGGGACAGUCCUUCAUGUAGGUGGCAAUAAUCUCUGCUGGGGAUCGUUCUUGAGCUUCUUAGGACGAGAAUUCUGUUAGAUUCUGGAUGGGGCCUGAUGUGUCUGCCCAGCUUUGCGGCCAGGCCAAGGGAAAAACCUGUGGAGGCAGGUGGAUGGGCUUCCUGGGGACAAGGGAGAAAACUCCAUCUUAUUUCUGAGCUCCUUCGGUGGUCAAAGAGGGCCCCUGGAACUGUGUGGGAAAGGUUUGCGGAACUAGAAAUCUCCUCAAGUUCAAAGGAGUUGCAGUUUGUAUGUGAAGUUUAAAUUACACUCGAAGGCAGUGGCUGCAGGUAAAAAAACGAAAAUGAAAACCCAAUGAAAACAUAAAAAGAUUUUAAAAAAUGCCUGCUUGUCCCACUGGCUCAGAAUCUUCGUUGCGGGCAGGGAGUGGGGAGCUGGUCUAAAUAUGUUUAAAAGCUCCCCGUUGAGUGUCACGUGCAGGCUCUAGGGGGUCUGUGAGCGUGGACGUUGAGCACACCUGUGGUUCCAGGG
rnacentral:lncRNA from 1 species